UACGGAGGGUGCAAGCGUUGUCCGGAAUCAUUGGGCGUAAAGAGUUCGUAGGCGGCACGUAAAGUCUGGUGUUAAAGGCGGAGGCUCAACUUCCGUACGGCACUGGAUACUUGCGAGCUAGAAUGCGGUAGAGGUAAAGGGAAUUCCUGGUGUAGCGGUGAAAUGCUUAGAUAUCAGGAGGAACAUCGGUGGCGUAAGCGCUUUACUGGGCCGUGAUUGACGCUGAGGAACGAAAGCCAGGGUAGCAAAUGGG
rnacentral:rRNA from 1 species